rnacentral:lncRNA from 1 species
AGUACUAUUUAUAUUCCAGCGGCAUCAAUUUGAAUUCUUUGAAAGAUACUUUAGUUAAUCAUUAAGGUGAUUUAUUAAUCAUGCCAAACACCUGUGUUGUACCUGGUUGUGUUGCAUGUCAACCGGGGAAGAAAAUCCCGCCUCACGUUUCAACCCUCCAGCUCCCGGCUAAUCCCAUUCGUAGACAAAAGUAGAUGCAUGCCAUCAGGAUGAUCGAGAAGAUUUAAAAAAGGUUAUAGUUGUAUGUUCGCUUCAUUUUUGCCCCCAUGAUUUCACUUAUGAGUCUCUGGAUAGGAAUCCCAGUAGAAAGAAAAAGAAAAUCCCCGAUGGGAAAGUGAAGAAGCCUCCCUUAAAAGAAGAUGCUGUUCCUUGCAUUUACCCCAACUUACCCAGUUAUCUAUCUGCUCCUUUAACAUCAAGAAGAUUUUCUACGGCCACUUCUAAAUUGAUUGAGAAAGAAAAAAAAAGGAUAGAUUCUGCGUCUAAAGCUUUUUUCAAUGGUGGAAAAAUCCUUCCAUUAUUGAAAGGAGGGAACAUUUCUCAACCCAGUGGAUUUCAAAUUUUUCAAAUCAAACCCAAAAAUAUAGAUAUUCUCCAAUUUUGUGAGGGUGUAAAUGGACUCCCUGUGAUAGAAAGAAGAAUUAUUAUAAGAAGAAAAUCUGAGCUUCAAAGCUUUUCUCCAAGAUUCUAUUGUACCUAAUCAUCGUCUUAAGCACUUAGUUAAUAAAGAUGUAACACUUACACCGAGACUUUGCAAAUUCCAAACAUUUUGUCUCUUUUAAAAAGCAUACAACUAGAAAAAGAAGAAUUCUUAUUAAAGAUGCAUUGAAUAACUUUGAAGAAAAAGUCAAAGUGGCUGUUCUUUUGGAUGGCAAGGGUGAACUAUUUCAUCUCAAUUAAUACAACUUCUUCAAGCAGAAAAAGUACUUCGCUUUAGAGCUCUUUCAAAAUAUACCAAAGUUCCAAUAACCUAGUUGUCCGGAAUAUUUGAAGACACCAUUGAAUUAGAAUGUCAAGGAGACUUAGAUUUCGUGUUUAAUAUCUGUAACACCAAAUUGGGUUUACCAAUGAAGAUACCGAUGCUACUCUUUACUACAUUGGUGGGUCCAUUGCAAGGUCGGUCUCUAAAAAAAAAAAAUUAUUGUUCCAGCUCCAAGAAUCUUUUAAUCAAAGGGUGUUCCUUCGAUGCCAAUAAUAUUCAAGUUACCACCGAAGAAGAAGCUGAUAAAACAUUUUAAUUGAGUUGAUUAAUAGAGGAGGACUUAUUAACCCCUUCGAAUGUGCCUCUUUGUCAAUUUGCUACAUAAACAACUUUCUAAGUAGCAUUUUCAAGAGCCGAGAUUUAGUCAAAAAGUUGUUCAACGCUUCAUCUGCUACUAAUAUUUUCAAUUAUGAGGUGUUCCAAAGAAUUAAUGGCGAUGAAAGUGCAUUCUCACUUCUAGAUAAAAAAUGUGAAUCUGGUUACCAGUACCAGGAUUUAUUGAACAAGAUUUCGUACAAAGUAUUCAAUGUCAAUAUCAGGAACUUUGUAAUGUCAAGAAAUGAUGAAAUUCAUUCAAGUCUGAAGCGUAAAAAAGAAUUAAUAUCAUAUUAACGAAGAAAAGCUCCUAAAUUAUCCUCUUUGUCUUCCGAAAAAAAAACUUUAUUUGAAUAUUCUUUUAAAAUCCUAAAAAUAAAUUCCACAUUUUGAUUAAGAUUAAUAUUUGUUAUUCAUUAGUUAUAUCAUUGAUAAUACAGAAUUAUACCUUAGGUUGUUUUAAAAGGUCUCAA